CCUACGGGAGGCAGCAGUGGGGAAUAUUGGACAAUGGGCGAAAGCCUGAUCCAGCCAUGCCGCGUGUGUGAAGAAGGCCUUCGGGUUGUAAAGCACUUUCAGUGGGGAAGAAAGCCUUGGGGCUAAUACCCUCGAGGAAGGACAUCACCCACAGAAGAAGCACCGGCUAACUCCGUGCCAGCAGCCGCGGUAAUACGGAGGGUGCGAGCGUUAAUCGGAAUUACUGGGCGUAAAGCGCGCGUAGGCGGUCUGAUAAGCCGGUUGUGAAAGCCCCGGGCUCAACCUGGGAACGGCAUCCGGAACUGUCAGGCUAGAGUGCAGGAGAGGAAGGUAGAAUUCCCGGUGUAGCGGUGAAAUGCGUAGAGAUCGGGAGGAAUACCAGUGGCGAAGGCGGCCUUCUGGACUGACACUGACGCUGAGGUGCGAAAGCGUGGGUAGCAAACAGGAUUAGAUCCCCCAGUAGUC
rnacentral:rRNA from 1 species